ACCCUCUCAGUGCAUUCAGAAUACCUUUGUAAAUGUCUUCCAGGAGGAGAAACUCGAGGCUCCACGAUGGACUUGAAAGGACAGACAGUCCACAGGGACAGAACUCCCCGGUUGGGACAGUGUGUACUAACCAGGCCACAGCCGGAGAGGAACCAGAGGAACCUGCAGAAGACCAGCCUGAA